CAGGGCCUCGCCGCCAUCGCCCCGCUCGCUUCCUGUCACAGCGCUUCCCCUCGCGGCCUCGCCGCUGUCGCCUCGCUCUCUGCCCCUCAGAGCGCCGCCAUCUCCCGGCUCCCUGCCCCUCGCGGCCCCGCCGCCGUCGCCCCGCUCCCUGCCCCUCAGAGCGCCGCCAUCUCCCGGCUCCCUGCCCCUCGCGGCCCCGCCGCCGUCGCCCCGCUCCCUGCCCCUCAGGGCCCCGCUGCGCUGUCCCGGGGGCUAUUCCUCCCCCCGGGAGCUUUCUAGAAGGAAGGGAGCAGCGUGAAGGAGGAGGAGGAGGAAGGCUGCUGUCGCCAUUAAGAGUGACAUAUUCAGAAAGAUCCAACUGGCAGCACACUGAUGAAUUCACCUGGCCUCCCCAUGUGUGCAUGUGUCCUAGUGUACCUGCCGUACUCCAGCACGAACCCUGCGAGCUGCCACUAUUUUUUCCGUGAGGUGCUCCUGGAUACUUACAGUCUAUACUGCUAAAUAAAAGAAGGCCGGGGACCGUCGCUGGUCUGGAG
rnacentral:lncRNA from 1 species